ensembl:lncRNA
CUGUGCCAAUUAGUAGGUCAGGGGAAGACAAAGGAUGAGCCCUUGACAGAGUUUGGGGUUUUUCUUUGGAAUCGAAUGUUGGAGACUUCCUCCCUGGCAACCAUCACAGAAAAUGGGAUACAUGGAGCAUCUUCAGGGAUGAUGUUGGGAAGAGCAGUGACUGAAAAUGGAAAAAAGCACUUCAGCCAGUGGACAUCAAAGACUUUGUUCGUGCGGAAGAUUCAUGAUUGCAGAUGGUGUUGGAAAGAAUUACGUAAUGCAUUUGGCCACAUAUUUUAACGACAUUCAGACAGCAGAAGCAGCCUGGCGUAGCUCCAGGAGGCGGGCCACAAUCAACAUUGUUGAAACGUUUCCUUAACGAAAACGGAAAUUAUGUCUGUUAUGGUGUUCAUAUCGGUUUUAAUAAAAAUACAUUUUCAUAUUAUU